GUGGAUUAGAUACCCUAGUAGUCCUAGCCGUAAACGGUGCACGUUUGCUGUAAAAGGAAUCGACCCCUUUUGUGGCGAAGCUAACGCGUUAAACGUGCCGCCUGGGAAGUACGGUCGCAAGAUUAAAACUCAAAGAAAUUGACGGGGGCCUGCACAAGCGGUGGAGUAUGUGGCUUAAUUCGAUGCAACGCGAAGAACCUUACCUGGCCUUGACAUGCAAGUAGUAGAAAGAUGAAAGUCUGACGAGGUAGCAAUACCAGCUUGCACAGGUGCUGCACGGCCGUCGUCAGCU
rnacentral:rRNA from 1 species